GCUUAGCCGUAAACCAAAGUGACAUAUAACAAUGUUACUCGCCAGAGAACUACUAGCUACAGCUUAAAACUCAAAGGACUUGGCGGUGCUUUACACCCAUCUAGAGGAGCCUGUUCUGUAAUCGAUAAACCCCGAUAAACCUCACCAACCCUUGCUAAUACAGCCUAUAUACCGCCAUCUUCAGCAAACCCCAAAAGGGGAUCACAGUAAGCAAAAACACAAAGCAUAAAAACGUUAGGUCAAGGUGUAGCCCAUGAGUUGGGAAGAAAUGGGCUACAUUUUCUAACAAUAGAACACAAACGAAACUUUUCGUGAAACCGAAAAUAGAAGGAGGAUUUAGUAGUAAAUUAAGAAUAGAGAGCUUAAUUGAAUUAGGCCAUGAAGCAC
rnacentral:rRNA from 1 species